GAUGAACGCUGGCGGCGUGCCUAAUACAUGCAAGUCGAGCGAACGGACGAGAAGCUUGCUUUUCUGAUGUUAGCGGCGGACGGGUGAGUAACACGUGGAUAACCUACCUAUAAGACUGGGAUAACUUCGGGAAACCGGAGCUAAUACCGGAUAAUAUUUUGAACCGCAUGGUUCAAAAGUGAAAGACGGUCUUGCUGUCACUUAUAGAUGGAUCCGCGCUGCAUUAGCUAGUUGGUAAGGUAACGGCUUACCAAGGCAACGAUGCAUAGCCGACCUGAGAGGGAGAUGGGCCACACUGGAACUGAGACACGGUCCAGACUCCUACGGGAGGCAGCAGUAGGGAAUCUUCCGCAAUGGGCGAAAGCCUGACGGAGCAACGCCGCGUGAGUGAUGAAGGUCUUCGGAUCGUAAAACUCUGUUAUUAGGGAAGUACAUAUGUGUAAGUACCUGUGCACAUCUUGACGGUACCUAAUCAGAAAGCCACGGCUAACUACGUG
rnacentral:rRNA from 1 species